rnacentral:rRNA from 1 species
CGGGUUGUGAGAGCAAGAGCCCGGAGAUGGAUUCUGAGACACGAAUCCAGGCCCUACGGGGUGCAGCAGGCGCGAAAACUUUACAAUGCUGGAAACAGCGAUAAGGGGACCUCGAGUGCCAGGUUACAAAUCUGGCUGUCGUGAUGCCUAAAAAGCAUUGCAUAGCAAGGGCCGGGCAAGACCGGUGCCAGCCGCCGCGGUAACACCGGCGGCUCGAGUGGUAACCGUUAUUAUUGGGUCUAAAGGGUCUGUAGCCGGCCGGAUAAGUCUCUUGGGAAAUCUGGCAGCUUAACUGUCAGGCUUUCAGGAGAUACUGUCUGGCUCGAGGCCGGGAGAGGUGAGAGGUACUUCAGGGGUAGGGGUGAAAUCUUGUAAUCCUUGAAGGACCACCAGUGGCGAAGGCGUCUCACCAGAACGGACCUGACGGCAAGGGACGAAAGCUAGGGGCACGAAUCGGAUUAGAUACCCGGGUAGUCCUAGCCGUAAACGAUACUCGCUAGGUGUCGGCAACGGUGCGACCGUUGUCGGUGCCGUAGGGAAGCCGUGAAGCGAGCCACCUGGGAAGUACGGCCGCAAGGCUGAAACUUAAAGGAAUUGGCGGGGGAGCAC